UAGUAGUCUUCAUUAAGAGUUUGUGCGCUUUUUUUCCUUUCAUUUAGCAUAUGGGGAUCUUACAAAUUUAAAUUUUGUUCCUCUCUUUGAACGGUUAAUUACUAUUUGUUUGGUAUGAGCAAGAAUGUGAUUUUAUUGUCUUGAAGAUCGACUGCCUUGGUAAUGAGGAAACAAACAUCUUAAGCAACUUAUUAUAUUUACGAUAUAAUUGUUUUCUGUA